GGCCCCUAAAGUGUCUGUUCAGAUUUGACUUGCAGCUGAACUGAGGUUCUCUGGUCUCCUUCCAAUCAGCACUGUCAUCAGUCUCAGGUUCAGAAGAGUCUCCAGUCUGGUCUUCAGUCUCUGGUUGUAAAAGUGGAUGUGAGUUCCUG